AAAUCAUCAUGCCCCUUAUGUUCUGGGCUACACACGUGCUACAAUGGCCGGUACAGACGGACGCAAAGCCGCGAGGUGGAGCAAAUCCUAAAAACGACCGGUCUCAGUUCGGAUUGCAGGCUGCAAUUCCGCCUGCAUGAAGUCGGAUUCGCUAGUAAUCGCGCAAUCAGCCAUGGCGCGGUGAAUACGUUCCCGGGCCUU
rnacentral:rRNA from 1 species